GUAAACUACGGUCUGUUGUCGACGGGCUGCUAGCCCCCCCACCCCAGGUAGAGCCCCCCCCCCUAUGGACUUUGAGAGGCAUGUUACCGAAGCAUCACUAGAAUGGAUAGAUUAUGAAAUGUUAACUUUAAACUAAAGACUUUUUGAUUUCUUUGCAUCCUGUGAAAUGUACUAAUCAGCAUGCGUUAAUAAUGACAUAUGAGAUACGGGACAGCAUAGGGCCGCUCCUGGGGUAUCUCAGAGGCUUCAGAAUUGCAGCAAUAAUAUAAAUAUAUAUAUGUGAAAAAAUUAUAUUAUGUGAAUAAAUCAUUAUGCAAAAUGUCCUUCCACAUGGUCUUUGCGUUUGCACUGUCUUAACUAAAUUAAACGUGCAGCCAUAUUAGUCGAGUUUGAGGCCUUGACAGUAUACCUCAUUAUUGAUUUCAAAAGACUAAUUUCAAAUUAAGUUACAUUAUAUAAAGUAUUUGGAUCCAAAGUAGGAAACAGCUGAACUAAAACCAUGAAUAAAAGCACAUGAUUUAGUAAUACUAACAUGUUGUAUAACAGUAGAAUAAAGGGCCACCUGUUUUAACAGCACAGCGUCACCAGAACGGGGAGGGAACGGGGGGUUCUAAGAACUAAAGCACAAAACUACAAUUCCCAAGAUGCAAUGCAGGUUGUGGUUUGGAUCUCAGUGUAAGCCCUGUUUCUGCCCAGGCGUCAGGGGGCUGGGGCUCUGCUCUGACCACUCCAAGCCCAGGGUGAUGGGAGGGGUUAGUAGAUGAUGGGGGGGGUCCCGGGUCUAAGCCCAGACCUGGGUCUAAGCCCAGACCUGGGUCUAAGCCCAGAGCCGGUCUGCUGGCGUCUGACGGUCAGAACCCCGGUCUCGCCAUUGGAGCUCUGCGAACACUGAACCUCCCCGCGGUUCGCUUAUCCAUGCGCUGUUGUUCUAUAUUUAACGUACUGUCUGAGCAUAGCCGCCCACGUCUUCUUGGUUAUGAUCUGAACGGGUUGAACCGAGAACCUGGUCAGACAUCAAUGAUUCAGGGCCCGGAAACGAUACGCUAAGAGGGGUAGGGCUGGGGAGUCGGACCGGCCGGCGUGAUACCCACCGGGACCUCUCACUGUAUGAACUACCAGACCUGUGUUGGUUCAAUAAUUCACAACCAGGAAACCUUGAGCGGAAACUGGCUGAGAUUUAAAGUAAAUUAUUAUCAAAUCGGACGCCCACUCUGGGUUAAAUAUAAUUUUUUCGAAUUAGGCCAACACAAAUUUACCAUUUCUUGAAGAUACAAACUAAAUGAUAAUAUUUAAUAUAAUAUAUACUGUAUAUAUAGUUUGUAUUUAAAAUAUUGAAUCCAAACCAAUGCAACCUCCCUGUUAAACUAAGCCAUAGCUACGCCCCAACUCGUCACUGAGUAGGGGGAACGCUAAAGCUAGUAGGGUUAACACUAGAGCUAGCAGGGCUAACACUAGAGCUAGCAGGGCUAACGCUAGAGAUAGCAGGGUGAAUGUUAGAUAAGGUAGGCUCGAUGCUAUCAGGCAGGGUGGAUGUGUUAGCAGGGUGGAUGUGUAGAGCUAGCAGGGUGGAUGUGUAGAGCUAGCGGGUGGAUGUGUAGGGAGCUAGCAGGGUGGAUGUGUUAGCAGGGUGGAUGUGUAGAGCUGGAUGAGGGUGGAUGUGUAGGGCUAUGAGGGUGGAUGUGUUAGCAGGGUGGAUGUGUAGGGCUAUGAGGGCGGAUGUGUUUGCUGGGGUGGAUGUGUAGGGCUAUGAGGGUGGAUGUGUUAGCAGGGUGGAUGUGUAGGGCUAUGAGGGUGGAUGCAGGCUGGAUGUUUGACGUCAUUGUGGGUGUGAUUGAUGAACAGAAGGCUUAGUGAGGCAGAGGAUGUGUCGGAACCUUUCAGAUAUAUUAAACCCUGCAUGUGCCGGUGUGUGUGUGUGUGUGUGUGUGUGUGUGUGUGUGUGUGUGUGUGUGUGCGUAUGUGAGUGCGUGUGUGUGUGUGUGUGUGUGUGUAAUGAAGUAGAUGCUAGAUGGGGUGCGGAGUAAUGAAUGGGGAGAGAUUUUAUGAUUACGAUUAUUAAUUCGCUGAAAAGCUUUGCUGCGUUCUGAUUGGCUUGUAGACAGCCUUGAUGGACCCCCUCCCUCUUGACACACACACACACACACACACACACACACACACACACACACACACACACACACACACACACACACACACACACAACCUGUAUUUAAUAACUGCCUAAAGAAAAGUAUGGCGGUGGCAGCAGGCCGUCUGGUUGCCGUGGUGACGGCGAGGUAAUGACGUUAGGAAGCAGAGAGAGUAGGACAGCAUCCUGCACACACAUACACACACAAACACACACACAGACACACACACACAUAGAGACACACAGACACACACACACACACGCACACACACACACACACACACACACACACACAGAGACAGAUAUAGACACUCACACACACCCACACAGAGACACAAACACACCCACACACACUCUCAUAAACACACACACACACUCCCCUGCCACGCUCCUGAAGGCUGUAAAAACAACUGCAAGGACACUUUAAUGUAACGGCUCCAUGUCUUUAAAUCUCUCGACCUCUAUCUUUACCUCUCCUUUCUACACUUUACCAAUGUUUAACCCUCUUUACCUCUAUUUACCACUCUUUAGCUCUGACUCUAUUUACAUCUCUUUACUUCUAUUUACCUCUCAGUUCCUCUCCGUUCCUCUAUAUACUCUCUUCACCUCUAUUUAACUCUAUCUACUUCUAUUUACCACUCUUUACUUCUAAUUACCACUCUCAUCAUCUUCGUUAGAUAUAGUUUUGGAAUCAUCUGAUUUCAAUAUUUUUCCAAUAUUUCUAUUUGAGGAUAGUGCAAAUCAAUUGAUCAUCAUUAGAAUCACAUGAUCAUCAUUAGGAUCAAAUGAUCCUCAUAGAAUCACAUGUUAAUCAUUAGAAUCACCGGAUCAUCAUUCAAAUCACAUGAUCAUUAGAAUCACAUGUUAAUCAUUAGAAUCACAUGAUCCUCAGUAGAAUCACAUGAUCAUUGUUAGAAUAACAUUUUCAUCCUUAGAAUCACUCGAUCAUUAGAAUCACAUGGUCAUCAUUAGAAUCACAUGAUCAUUAGAAUCACAGGAUCAUCAUUACAAUCACAUGAUCUUCAGUACAAUCACAUCAUCCUCAUUAGAAUCACAUGAUCAUCAUUAGAAACACAUGAUCAUCAUUAGAAUCCCCUGAUCAUCAUUAGAAUCCCAUGAUCUUCAUUAGAAUCAGAUGAUCCUCAAUAGAAUUUCAUGAUCACAUGAUCAUCAUUAGGAUCAUGAAACUGUUACAGGCCAUCUGAGGUUGGCUUUGUAGCUCCUGACGAACGCUUCUGCGUUGAACUCAAGAUAACUGCAGUUUAACUCCGGCAGUGAACUAUGUUGUGAUCAUGGUCAAUGCUUCUGAGUACACCAGGAUACUUAGUCUGCAGAAAAGUGUUUCUAAAAUAAUAGAAUAGUGUUAUAAUAAUGUCAGCAGAGGUCCCUCCCGGAGGUGUCAGUGUAGCGAGACCACAUAUCUGUGGUCUAACAGUGCAAUUAUGUAAGCAGGAACUAUUUUUCGCUGCAUCACACUCUUGCUUUGACUGCUGCAGUACCUUUCAGAACACUGCAGAUAUAUGGAUAUUUAACAGCAAUGCAGACGUUGAUCCAGUUUCCCCCCCACCAGAAUACCUCGGUAUUAGGACUGCAUGGGGAACAUGUUAUGUAUCGAUUAUUAUAUUGAUUUCAACAGGGAUAGCGAUAUGGUUGGACAAUCAUUAACUAGUAUAAAUCUAACAAAUGAAAACUAAAACUUUAAAUUGUAGUUCAUGCUUGAUCUAUUCUUUUCUUCAUUAUGAUUAACAACCAAUAUAUUAUAACAACAUUUAAUAAAUGCUUUGACUACU
ensembl:lncRNA